UACGUAGGAGGCAAGCGUUGUCCGGAAUCACUGGGCGUAAAGCGCGUGUAGGUGGAAGAGGAAGUCUGCUGUGAAAGCCCCGGGCUCAACCUGGGAACGGCGCGCGAAACGGGAGGGCUGGAGUUCGGGAGAGGAGAGUGGAAUUCCCAGUGUAGAGGUGAAAUUCGUAGAUAUUGGGAAGAACACCGGUGGCGAAGGCGGCUCUCUGGACCGAGACUGACGCUGAGGCGCGAAAGCGUGGUGAGCAAACAGG
rnacentral:rRNA from 1 species